rnacentral:misc_RNA from 1 species
UGACCAGAAAAAGAUGAAACCUUAUUAUAUGUUGGGCACAAUAACUUCUUUCUUUUUGUCUGGAAUUCACGGUUGCAACCAAUACACCGAUAAGAUGUCCGACAUGAGAGCCAUUUUUAUGGCUCGCGGUCCCGCUUUUAAAAAUCUAAGAUCUCCACCACUUCACAUGGUAGACCAUUAUAACAUAUUUUGCCACGUUCUUGGAAUCGAACCACUUCCCAACAAUGGAUCGUGGCAUCGAGUAAAAGAUAUGCUUACACAUGGUUCGA